GGCGAGAAGCAGAACAGCCCUUGACUCUGUGCAAGCACUGCUCAGCAAUAACAAAAACAUCCCUGUGUUAGCAACACUGUUUUCAGCACAAAUCCAAAACGGAGCCCCAUACUAGCUACUGGGAAGCAAAUUAACUCAAUCCCAGCCAAAACCAGCACAACAGGGUACGUGACAGAGACAAAAGAAUUAAAAAAUGGGGACAGCUAACUAAACAAACAGACAUAGGAAGAAAAUUUAAAAGGUGAUGGGCUACAUGACAGACAGGAAUAACUUAAAGACUGACACAGUGAACAGGUUAAAGUAGACAUAGAAAGAAAAAGUAAAAAGCAAUGGGGUACACAAUAGUGAGGAAAGAAUUAAAAAACAGUGAUACACAGCUCGAUACAAGUAGACAUAGAAGGAAAAUUUAAGAAGUGAUUGGGUACAGGACAGAAAAAAAUUUUAAAAAUAGUCACAGUAAACUAAAACUGAGAAAUAUAAAGGAAAUUUAAAAGUGACACAGGGGCACAGGACAGAGAGGAAAAAAAUAAAAAAUAAAGACAGUGAACUGGAUGAAAGUAGACAUAGAAAGCAAAUUUUCAAAGCAACAGGGUACACGACAGACAGGAAAUAAUUAAAAAAUAGCAAUAGGCAGCUUCAUAAAAGUAGAUGUAGCAUCAUGGUUUAACCCUGGCUGGCAACUAAGUACCAUACAGCUGCUCACUUACUCCCCCACAGUGGGAUAGGGGGAGAAUCGGGAGGGUAAAUGUGAGAAACUCAAGGGUUGAUAUAAAAAGUUUAAUAAUUAAAAAGACAUUUUU